ensembl:lncRNA
CAGGGGGCGGGAAGAGCAUUCAGGGUUGACUCAGUUGAGAACCAUUACAGUAAACAGAAAAGCACAACAAAAGGACGUCAAGAAGUUUAAACCAAAAAAUACCUGUUAGAAAGCAAAGGCAGAGGAAGAAAGGAAGGAGAGACAAGAGGACUCCACGUGCCAGACUUCCUCCCUUUCCUGCCUCAAUGCUGCACUGUUGAACUGGCAGUUAGACUAAAACCAACCCAAAUGUUUGAAAAGGCAUCAGGACUCAGCAGCUAAAAGAACGCUGUUUUCUAAAAACAAAUCCAUAUAUGGCAGGCAUGCUUAAUCUGUUCUUUCAUAAACUCUAAACCCAAGAUUUCAAAUUAAGACCUGCCAGACAAUCUCCAAUCAACAGAAGUCCUUUCCUUUGUUCAUCCCUAUGCAAAAAAACUCCCAAAAGAAAAAAAUCCAAUUUGGAUUCAAAACCUGGUGCUACACUUAAUAAGAACCUAUAUUCUGACACAUAGGGAACCACUCACUUGGUUCCAAAAAUGCAAAUAACCGAGAAGUCAUAACGAUGGAUAAGUGAGAAACACAACCAGCAAACUCCUUGCUCAGCCUGCCCUCUCUUCUCUGCCACUUUGUGGGGUGACACGCCAGCAAGACCAUCUGAAGGUGGCUCCCCUAGGUUUUCUUUGCAGCCGUCCUGAUUAAGGAUUGGUUCUCAGGAUAUUCUGCACAAAAAUCACAAAGCCAGGAGGGGAUGGUAGCAAGAAUUCCAAGGUAGUCACCUCCAGUAAGGCGAGAUGAUGCAUCAGAGGACCUGGAACCCAGAUCACUUCGGUAACAACAGAGGGAAAAGAAUCUCUAACACUCUCACUCCAAGGCAUCGACUGUCAGCCAAAAGGAUCUAGCCUUUGCCUGCUUCCUGCCCCCGGCUCACAGAGGACAAGGGGCCAUGUCUGGAGAUGGUUUGGAUCUUUACAACCAGAGGAAGUGAGUUCUGAUAGCCUCUAGUCGGCAGAAACCCGGGAUGGUGCUGAACAGCCUGCAACACACAGGACAGCCUCACAACCAAGAAAUGACUCAGCACAA